rnacentral:rRNA from 1 species
AGUUUUAGGUAAUUUAUCUAAAAUAAUACCUGCCCAAUGUUGAUUUAUAAACGGCCGCGGUACUUUGACCGUGCUAAGGUAGCGCAAUCAAUUGGCUUUUAAAUGAAGUCGUGUAUGAAUGGAAUAACGGAGUUUAGCUGUCUCUUAGACUAAUUUAUUGAAAUUACUAUGUAGGUGAAAAAGCCUACAUUAAGAAAAAAGACGAGAAGACCCUUAGAACUUACCUUAGGUUCAAGAAAUAUAUUAUAUUCUUGAAAUAGUUUUGUUGGGGCAACAUAGGAACAUUGUUUUAAUCUCCUUAGAAUUAUAAACCGAUGAUUAUAAAAAUAAAUAAGUUACCUUAGGGAUAACAGCAAAAUACUAUAAGUGAGUUUGUGACCUCGAUGUUGGACUAGAAACUUAACAGGCUAGCCGCUUGUUGGGAAAGUUCUGUUCGAACUAUAAUUUUC